GUUCUGCCGUCUGUGGGGAUAUCAUCGAUAUCAUCAGUGCUUCGGUACUAUCAUACUUUGUAACAUACCUUUCUUAAACACCCUUUUGAUAAAUGUAGAAGUAUGUAGAGAACAACUGAGGUUCCAACUCCUAAAGGAAAAGUUAACCACAUAUGGAUUUUUCUAUUCGUUUUUUAUUUGGUUCAUACAGCUCCUAACUUACUUUGGUAUCCAAGUAGUUGAUGGCUUUGACCUUUUUAGAUUUGUACGUUCCUGCAAAUU
rnacentral:lncRNA from 1 species